rnacentral:rRNA from 1 species
CCACGGGCGGCAGCAGUGGGGAAUAUUGGACAAUGGGCGAAAGCCUGAUCCAGCCAUGCCGCGUGUGUGAAGAAGGCCUUCGGGUUGUAAAGCACUUUCAGUGGGGAAGAAAGCCUUGGGGCUAAUACCCUCGAGGAAGGACAUCACCCACAGAAGAAGCACCGGCUAACUCCGUGCCAGCAGCCGCGGUAAUACGGAGGGUGCGAGCGUUAAUCGGAAUUACUGGGCGUAAAGCGCGCGUAGGCGGUCUGAUAAGCCGGUUGUGAAAGCCCCGGGCUCAACCUGGGAACGGCAUCCGGAACUGUCAGGCUAGAGUGCAGGAGAGGAAGGUAGAAUUCCCGGUGUAGCGGUGAAAUGCGUAGAGAUCGGGAGGAAUACCAGUGGCGAAGGCGGUCUUCUGGACUGACACUGACGCUGAGGUGCGAAAGCGUGGGUAGCAAACAGGAUUAGAUACCCCUGUAGUC